UCAGGUCUGGCUGUGGAGGUGCACCCCAGAGCGGGCCGUGAGGGCUGCGAGGGUGCGUGGAGUGCGGUCGAGGGCCCGGUGCGGGUCAGGGGCUGCUCUGGGCCGGGGCGCGGGGGGAGCAGGCCGCCUGCGGAGAGAGCGCAGCCGGACGCCUUGCCCCUGCGGCCCCGGGCCAGCGCGCCCGGUGACCGCUCCCUGCGGGAGACCCGGCUCUUGGCCGGCUUCUCUGCGCGCCGAACGACAGCAUUUGCGCAGCGUUGAGCCCGGUCUGUGGUUAACAACUAAGCAGCUGUUUUCUUGUGGUAUCUCGUUGGAUUUUCACAACCAUCUGUUUUAGCAAAUAAAACAGGCUUGAAGGGAAUGAUUUACCCAAGGUCACCUAGCCAGUAGACAGGGGAGUUGGAUUGAAGGUCAAUUUGUUCCAGAUCUCCUGUUGCUGCUAAUAGGACACUGCCCGAAGCCAGCGUUGGGUCCUUCACAGCCCCUGAGUGGCACAGGUAGCUUCCUAGCGACUUUGAGGAGCCUUGUAUUCAGAGUCCGUAAUUGAGAGUAUGGGCUCCUCCCAGCCUUCCCAGAGUGUACGCCCGGUGGUCCUGCUUUGAGCCUAUAGGGGGUCUACUCUGGGGAGCAACCGCCUAGAGAGUCAAAUUCGGGGCCCUAUAUGAAGAUUCCAAGUAAAUGAUUUUGUCCUCUUGGCCCGAGUUCCAUUUCCCUUGGAGCAAAGCAGUUCGGGGGAGAUAAAGAGGGAAGGAAUUGCACGAACUAGAAAUCCACCCGGAAGAAAACACCCCUGAGACCUCUCACCAGCGCUCAGAGCAAAAGUGGAAGAGACCCCCAAAGGAAAAGAUUCUAGAUUUCCAAGGCCAGAAGCAGUUUUUGAUCCCCUUGCCCUAAAUAAGCAUGUGUUCAGAUGUCACAUCUGAACGUAUCACAGCUUUGUGACUGUGGAAGGUCAGGACCAGAGACGUGUGCUGUCUUGAGCGCUCUACCUUUACACUUCUCCAUACUUUUCCAAAACCAGCAGAGAAUGAACAGAUCCCAGCAGUCGGCAGGGUUGAGUCCAAGAUCCUGAGACCUGCAAGCCUGCUGCUGACACAGUGACUUUCUAUUUCCGUCAUUAAAUACCUCCUGUGGCUGGGCUGCUGUUUACCGGAAAUCACUGAGCAACUGUGAUAUGUUACGGUUCUCCUGUGGAUUGCCUUGUUUAUGUAUUUGCCCAUUUUUUUCUAUCCUUUAUAAUCUUGUAAGAAUCCUUUAUGUAAUUUCGAUAGUAAUCCUUUUUCUCUA